UGAGAGAAGAGAGAAAAGAGAAAGAGGGAAGAAAGGGAUCAGAUAAGACUACCAGUGUGUUCAGAAACUUGCUUGAGUAAGAGUCCAUUUGUCUUUUGAUCGAUACUCCCUAUAAGAUUAAGAGAAUGAAAUGAUUUACAGAAGAUUAAGGAACAGAAUGAGAGAUUAUGAAGAGAUUACACUAGAAUCAUGAUUAAGAGAGUAUGAACUUAGAGAGAUAAACUCAGAACUGUGUAAUCUUUCAUUAAGGACAUGAGUUACAAUAUAUAGUGUGAGAACAUAAGGGUUUUCAGAUUCGAAGGUAAGCUAAAGCAUGUGAAGUCAAUAUGGGAAGGAUAAGCUCAUUUGGACCGGCCAAUUAGCUUCUCCACAUGCGCGGAGCAUCUAGCAUCUUGGACCAAGAUGCUCUUGCCUUUCCAGCUGU
rnacentral:lncRNA from 1 species